rnacentral:rRNA from 1 species
AGAGUUUGAUCCUGGCUCAGGAUGACGCUAGCAGAGGCUUAUACAUGCAAGUCGAGCGGAUCCACCUUUCGGGGUGUGAGAGCGGCGCACGGGUGAGUAACGCGUACACGACUACUUUGACAAGGGGAUAGCCUGGAAACUGGGAUUAAUACCCUAUACGAUUCCAAAUAAUAAAGGUUUGGAAUGAAAGCUCCGGCGGUCAAAGAUGGGUGUGCGUCUGAUUAGCUAGUUGGUAGGGUAACGGCCUACCAAGGCGAUGAUCAGUAGGGGGCGUGAGAGCGUGAUCCCCCACACGGGUACUGAGACACGGACCCGACUCCUACGGGAGGCAGCAGUAAGGAAUAUUGGUCAAUGGGCGAAAGCCUGAACCAGCCAUCCUGCGUGCAGGAAGAAGGCCCUAUGGGUUGUAAACUGCUUUUGUCAGGGAAGAAACCUCUGGAUUUAUCCGGAGCUGACGGUACCUGAAGAAUAAGCACCGGCUAACUCCGUGCCAGCAGCCGCGGUAAUACGGAGGGUGCAAGCGUUAUCCGGAAUUACUGGGUUUAAAGGGUGCGUAGGCGGCUGUGUAAGUCAGGAGUGAAAGUUUGCGGCUUAACCGUAAAAUUGCUUUUGAUACUGCACGGCUAGAAUCAGGAUGAGGUCAGCGGAAUGUGGCAUGUAGCGGUGAAAUGCAUAGAUAUGCCAUAGAACACCAAUUGCGAAGGCAGCUGGCUAGACCUGUAUUGACGCUGAGGCACGAAAGCGUGGGGAGCGAACAGGAUUAGAUACCCUGGUAGUCCACGCCCUAAACGAUGCUUACUCGACGUAUGGCGCUUGUCGCUGUGCGUCCAAGGGAAACCGUUAAGUAAGCCACCUGGGGAGUACGACCGCAAGGUUGAAACUCAAAGGAAUUGACGG